AAUGCACCAAUUUGUAAGUCGCUCUGGAUAAGAGCGUCUGCUAAAUGACAAAAU
rfam:Salmo salar isolate Sally breed double haploid chromosome ssa20, whole genome shotgun sequence.